AUCCCUCCUCUGUGGAGUCUUUCCUGUGCACCUGGAUCUUUGGAUACAGACUUUCAUGUUCAUGUGACCCUUUCCAAGGAAGGACAGAUCGAGAAGUACCUGUAACACCUUUGGAUGAAAUAGAUUCUGAAAAAAAAAAUAAGAAAAAAUUGUUAUGAGGAGAAGAGAAAGAAAGAAGACCAUCUGUCACCAGAUAGGAUUUGCUUCACUUACAUCUGAGAGAAAACUUUGGCUUUUUGGAGGUCUGCUUGGGAGUCUGAAGAACAAAAGCACAUCAGAAUAAAACCCACAACAAACAUUUAUUUCAAUAUUUUUAUACUGGGAUGAGCAGAAAGGAUGGUGACUGUUAAAUUUGAAAACUUCAGACUGGAUCAAGUGCAAAGAUGCUGACUGAAGCAGUGACUGAAAGCUUUGCCUGUUUUGAUGACUCUGAAUAAAGUCUCUGAAUAAAAAAAAAAACCAUAUAUCACAUUGUUUUUGCUGAUAUUAAAACAAUCUAAAGCAGU